GAUGAAGAACGUAGCGAAAUGCGAUAAGUAAUGUGAAUUGCAGAAUUCAGUGAAUCAUCGAAUCUUUGAACGCACAUUGGGCCCCCUGGUAUUCCGGGGGGCAUGCCUGUUCGAGCGUCAUUUCACCACUCAAGCCUCGCUUGGUAUUGGGCAACGCGGUCCGCCGCGUGCCUCAAAUCGACCGGCUGGGUCUUCUGUCCCCUAAGCGUUGUGGAAACUAUUCGCUAAAGGGUGUUCGGGAGGCUACGCCGUAAAACAACCCCAUUUCUAAGGUUGACCUCGGAUCAGGUAGGGAUACCCGCUGAACUUAAGCAUAUCAAUAAGCGGAGGA
rnacentral:misc_RNA from 1 species